rnacentral:misc_RNA from 1 species
UUAAGGAUAAGGAUAGUUGCCUUUUAGGCAGCUAGACUAGGUUGGGCAAGUGUUUGGUAGAGUUUGCAUUCUAUUUCUUUUGCAUUGUCGAGAGUUUGUUUUCAAAACAUUUAGUUGUAAUCAAGUGUUAUUGUAAAUAAUGGUAACAAGUAUAAUUCACAUAUAAUAAUAGACGUUUAAGAAUAUAUGUCUUUAGUUAAGAGUUAACUUGCAUGGAUCAAUAAUUUACAGAC